CUGCUACUGCUAUAUACCCCCCUCUGUUCUUCAUCUGCUACUCAAUUUUCAGAAUUUCCCAAUUGAAACCAAGAAAAAGCUUUAGGCUAUGGAAUUCAUCCCCUCAAAAUCUAACCAAAACCAAAGGCUUCCUCCUAAAAGAGGACAGAUCAAGAUGAAGAUAUUCAAAUCUCUUGUAAGAUCAGCCGUUGCAUUUGUAUCAGAAGGCAGUAAGUCAAGAAGCUCAAAUUCCACGACCCCACAUCAGACUCCAAGCUGCUGCAACUCCGGGAGUAAUUCUGAUGGAUGAAAUGCUUCCUCUUCUCAGUUUUGUUUAAAUUAAAAUUUAUUUGUACGGUAGAGGGAGUUUAUGAAUAUUUAUGAAUUUUCUUCGGGGAGACUUUGGGAAGUGCAGAACCAUUGUGUUUCUUGUGUCUUUUAUCUUAAGGCACAACAAUCCCAAUUGUACUGAGUUUCCAUUAUACAAGUCAUUUACAGUCAGGUUCACUUUUGAAACUGAUCUUAAAUAUAUAGUUCUUGUUCUUGUUCUUACUUCAAACUUCUUAUUCAUUGUUGUUUGUUGACUUCAAAAUCCGAUAGAUUGACUCGAGCAGCCAACAUUUUCCGAUCACCUUUUUAUCCGCUUAUUAUACGUCUAACACUACAUUAGAGAGGCAAAGGUCAA
rnacentral:lncRNA from 1 species